rnacentral:rRNA from 1 species
UACGGAGGGUGCAAGCGUUAUCCGGAUUUACUGGGUUUAAAGGGUGCGUAGGCGGGCCUUUAAGUCAGUGGUGAAAUCCUCCGACUCAAUCGGAGAACUGCCAUUGAUACUAUUGGCCUUGAAUACAGUUGAGGUGGGCGGAAUGUGUCGUGUAGCGGUGAAAUGCUUAGAUAUGACACAGAACACCGAUUGCGAAGGCAGCUCGCUAAACUGUGAUUGACGCUGAGGCACGAAAGCGUGGGGAUCAAACAGG